UACAGAGGUCCCGAGCGUUGUUCGGAUCCACUGGGCGUAAAGGGUGCGUAGGUGGUGAGGUAAGUCGGAUGUGAAAUCUCCAGGCUCAACCUGGAGACGCCACUUGAUACUGCUGUGACUGGAGUCCGGUAGGGGAGCGUGGAAUUCCUGGUGUAGCGGUGAAAUGCGCAGAUAUCAGGAGGAACACCGGUGGCGAAGGCGGGUCUCUGGGCAGUAACUGACGCUGAGGAGCGAAAGCGUGGGGAGCGAACAGG
rnacentral:rRNA from 1 species